rnacentral:rRNA from 1 species
UGGGGAAUAUUGCACAAUGGGCGAAAGCCUGAUGCAGCGACGCCGCGUGAGGGAUGACGGCCUUCGGGUUGUAAACCUCUUUCAGUAGGGACGAAGCGCAAGUGACUGUACCUGUAGAAGAAGCACCUGCUAACUACGUGCCAGCAGCCGCGGUAUUACGUAGGGUGCGAGCGUUGUCCGGAAUUACUGGGCGUUAAGAGCUCGUAGGCGGUUUGUCACGUCGUCUGUGAAAUCCUAGGGCUUAACCCUGGACGUGCAGGCGAUACGGGCUGACUUGAGUACUACAGGGGAGACUGGAAUUUCUGGUGUAGCGGUGGAAUGCACAGAUAACAGGAAGAACACCGAGGGCGAAGGCAGGACUCUGGGUAGUAACUGACGCUGAGGAGCGAAAGCAUGGGUAGCGAACAGG